UCUCCCCGAUGGCUGUAUUAACGCAGCGCGCACAGGCUCGGUCUUUCCGUCCCGGCCUUGGUGGCCGAUCCACCCGAGCCGGUCCCCACUGCCCAGCCGUGCUGCUGCCUCGGACACAAGCGCAGGUUGAAAACUACAAGAAACUCGUGACUGAAUGGCUCCAAGGUGAAGUACUCUUGCAUGUAGUGACCAGGCUUGCCUGUAUCCCACUUUAGGAUUAGUGUCGAAGCUGAAAUAGGUGAAGUCCAUUUUACAAAUAGUGGGGGCCAUGUGAGUUUCCUUGAAUGGCCUUGUAACUGAUUACCCUGAAGGUAGUUUCCUAAAGUUUUUAAUCAAUGUACUAGGAUCCUGCCCCACCCCUUCUGCAUGUCCCACUGCCCUAGAAUCAGAUCUGCAUGGCUAUGACAUGCUGGCCAUUUUAAAGAUGCAAAGAUUUCAUGCUAGAUCAUCAGAAUGUAUCUGGACUUCGUUAGGACAAGUUCUUUGCUAGCAAUCGAGGUGUGUUAACCUGUAUAUUGUUGCCUAUGAGUAAUUUUCCAUAAUCUUAAAUAAAGGCUUCCUGUGUCAAUUCUA
rnacentral:lncRNA from 1 species